rnacentral:rRNA from 1 species
UACGUAGGGCGCAAGCGUUGUCCGGAAUUAUUGGGCGUAAAGAGCUCGUAGGCGGUUUGUCGCGUUGUUCGUGAAAACUCACAGCUUAACUGUGGGCGUGCGGGCGAUACGGGCAGACUUGAGUACUGCAGGGGAGACUGGAAUUCCUGGUGUAGCGGUGGAAUGCGCAGAUAUCAGGAGGAACACCGGUGGCGAAGGCGGGUCUCUGGGCAGUAACUGACGCUGAGGAGCGAAAGCGUGGGGAGCAAACAGG